rfam:Canis lupus familiaris chromosome 10, whole genome shotgun sequence.
AGAUGUGAGGGGGAUCUGGCUGAGACAUGCAUCAUCCCGCUGAUCACCAGGGUGGAUUUGGCUGAUCUGGCUUAGCUACAUGGGUGUCCCCUUCUUCCCUCACGACUCGGUGUGUCCCUCGCAAAGCUGUACACUCAGCUGAAGAGGAUGACCCUCCCCCAUAGAGAACUAUUCUUUAGUCAAGGGCCUAGGACCAGCUGCACUCCCCUGCUGGAAACUCUGAACAAGCUCUCAAGGUCCAUUUGUAGGAGAACGUAGGAUAGUCAAGCUUCCAAGACUCCAGACACAUCUAAAUGAGGCACUGCAUGUGACAUUCUACUUUUCUUU